rnacentral:rRNA from 1 species
GUGUCAGCCGCCGCGGUAAUACGAAGGGGGCUAGCGUUGUUCGGAUUUACUGGGCGUAAAGCGCACGUAGGCGGAUUGUUAAGUCAGGGGUGAAAUCCCGGAGCUCAACUCCGGAACUGCCUUUGAUACUGGCAAUCUUGAGGCUGGAAGAGGUUAGUGGAAUUCCCAGUGUAGAGGUGAAAUUCGUAGAUAUUGGGAAGAACACCAGUGGCGAAGGCGGCUAACUGGUCCAGAUCUGACGCUGAGGUGCGAAAGCGUGGGGAGCAAACAGGAUUAGAAACCCGAGUAGUCC